rnacentral:misc_RNA from 1 species
GUGACUAGGCUCAUUUUUACAUUUAUGCAUGGUAUAACCAUUAUAUAUAACGAAUAUAUUUUAAUAUUGAUGAUGAUUUAAUCAAUGAUGCUUUGGUUAGUUCCAAUAAUGAUCUGCCUCAAUUUUCAAUCUUGGGGAGUGGAAACGGAUUUGGAAACUUCAUAUACCUCCUAAAAUAAAAAAUUUUGUGUGGAGAGCACUCAGAGGCAUUCUCCCUACAAAGGUUAAUGUGCUGCGGAAGUGAUUUGACGGGGACACUAUUUGCUCCAUUUGCGGGUUAGAGGAGGAUGACCUUCGUGUUUUUGUCCAUUGCCCCAAGGCUAAAGAACGUUGGAAUAUAUUUGGCAUUUCUUUUCAGCCACAAGCUUUAACUAAUCUCUGUGAUUGAUUUGCUUUCAUUUUUAGAGAUGUUGAUGUGGGUUUGCAUGAGAGAGUUUAUUCUGUGUUAUGGACCUUGUGGUACCACCGUAACUUGUUAAUCUGGCAGGGAAAGA